rnacentral:rRNA from 1 species
GGAAUAUUGGACAAUGGGGGCAACCCUGAUCCAGCAAUACCGCGUGCGUGAAGAAGGCCUUCGGGUUGUAAAGCACUUUAGGUUGGGAAGAAGGGGUGUAGUUUAAGAGAUAACGCCUUUGACGGUACCGACAGAAUAAGCACCGGCUAACUCUGUGCCAGCAGCCGCGGUAAUACAGAGGGUGCAAGCGUUAAUCGGAGUUACUGGGCGUAAAGGGCGCGUAGGCGGUUAUAUAAGUGAGAUGUGAAAGCCCUGGGCUUAACCUAGGAACGGCAUCUUAUACUGUGUAGCUAGAGUAUUGUAGAGGGUAGUGGAAUUUCCGGUGCAGCGGUGAAAUGCGUAGAGAUCGGAAGGAACACCAGUGGCGAAGGCGGCUACCUGGACAAAUACUGACGCCGAGGCGCGAGAGCGUGGGGAGCAAAC